UUUCCUAUUAACCAUUAAAUUAAAGGGAUUAUUAGACAUUAUGAUCUUUGGGAGAGCUGUAGGGUGUGUUAAUUAGAUCUAUAAUUACCACUGCUUAAAGAAAAACAGAGCAAAAAAAGCCCUACAGAUAAUGUCUGUCUGCUUUCAUUGUAAUGAAAUUAUUCCUGUAGGACAUGGGAUUAAUUUCAGGCUUUAACUAAUGUUUAUGCUGUUUUUCUCACUUUUCCUUUUGAUGGUGCUGAAAGAGAAAAAGGAAAGCGAGUCACAGGCCACUCACCGCCUACUCCAUGGGUCUGAUUUGCUGAGACACCAACUUCACCUUCCUAACAAGGUGCAGCUCAAAAGAAGAUGAUGACUACCAGAAGACAUGAACAAAGGGUAAGUGGCAUUAAACCUCUGAAGAACCUUUAUCUGUAUAUUGAGCUGUACACAGAAGGCUGACCAGCCUGUGGCACUACUGGAGAUAGAGCGAUCUUCUACAGUAUGUGUAAAAUUGUAACUCGGGUGGAGAAUGCUUGGAAGCAGCAAUUGCUUGACAUUA
rnacentral:lncRNA from 1 species